rnacentral:piRNA from 1 species
UGGACGAGCCCCCAACUGAAAGA